rnacentral:rRNA from 1 species
AGUGAAAUAGAACCUGAAACCCUGCACUUACAAGCUGUGGAAGCACAUUUCUAGUGUGACCGCGUACUUUUUGUAGAACGGGCCAACGAGUUACGUUAAGUAGCAAGUUUAAGCACUCAAGGUGCGGCGCCGUAGCGAAAGCGAGUUUUAACUGAGCGUUCAGUUACUUGACGUAGACCCGAAACCGGGCGACCUACCCAUGAGCAGGAUGAAGCGAAAGUAAAUUUUCGUGGAGGUCCGAACCCACGAGCGUUG